rnacentral:rRNA from 1 species
GCCUCAGUAACGGCGAGUGAGCGGCAAAAGCUCAAAUUUGAAAUCUAGCACUUUCAGUGUUCGAGUUGUAAUUUGAAGAAGGUAACUUUGGUUUUGGCUCUUGUCUAUGUUCCUUGGAACAGGACGUCACAGAGGGUGAGAAUCCCGUGCGAUGAGAUGCCCAAUUCCAUGUAAAGUGCUUUCGAAGAGUCGAGUUGUUUGGGAAUGCAGCUCUAAGUGGGUGGUAAAUUCCAUCUAAAGCUAAAUAUUGGCGAGAGACCGAUAGCGAACAAGUACAGUGAUGGAAAGAUGAAAAGAACUUUGAAAAGAGAGUGAAAAAGUACGUGAAAUUGUUGAAAGGGAAGGGCUUGAGAUCAGACUUGGUAUUUUGCGUUCCCUUCCUUUUUGGUUGGGUUCCUCGCAGUUUACUGGGCCAGCAUCGGUUUGGAUGGUAGGAUAAUGACAUUGGAAUGUAGCUUUACUUCGGUGAAGUGUUAUAGACUUUGUUGAUACUGCCUAUCUAGACCGAGGACUGCGUCUUUGACUAGGAUGCUGGCGUAAUGAUCUUAAGCCGCCCGUCUUGAAACAACGGACC